AGUCAACUUCUCCAAUCUUAGCAUACUCUGUUCUUCCCUCCAUCCACAGUAAACGAAAUGGAGAGAGAUCACAAAUAUUGCCUUGAAGAAGACGAAGAGAUAUUUACAACCGUAGAUCAAGUUUUUCUGAAGUUACGAGGCAUUGAUGGAUUCAAAAGCGUUAAUUUCUCCAUUUCUGGAAUGGGAGGAAUAGGAAAGAUAAUCUCACCUCUUGGUAUGGCUCUGUACUGCACCCUUGAAUUCGCUUUUGGCUAUGUCUCUGUCCGCUGGAUUCUACUAUUAGUUGGAAUUCUACUGUCUUCUUUUUUUAUUUUUUUUAUUUUAUUUUUAUUAACUUUUCUUCUUUUUGGUCUCCAACCUACGUCCCCAUGACAAUACAGAUAACCCUUGGAAUUAUUUCAACUAGCGUUUAUAAAAGUGUAUUGAGGUUCUGUCCCUGGGGAACUGUUUGUUCAUUUCAACUUUUUGUGCUUGUUUCAAAAUUGAAACUACCUGAUGUAUUUUGUUUGUGUUUACUGCCUUACUAGUUUCAGUAUGUGCUUGGCUUGGAUAUUCAUUGCUUGAAUGUUGUGCAUAUCUGAAAUCUAAA